AUCAAUCUAUUUCCUAACCCCAUUCCUCCCUCACUCCCUCCCUUAACCAACCUCUCCCUUUUGCCUCCCCCACCUCCCAAAUUUUCUUAAAGCCUAUGAUUCUCUCCUCCCUCCUGAGUGAACUAUAAAGAUGCUACAGUUGCUUUCUCAGUCAGGGGGUUUAUUGGGAUAACAGGAUGGGAAACUGAGAGAUGUGGGGAACCAGGACAAUAGCCAAACUUCAGUACUUGUCUGUGAGUAUUUAACAAAGAGUGUGGAUAAAAGGAGGUCAUAUGUCUUAACAUAUGUCAAGCGUUGCAACCUUGAGUCUCACACUAGGUUCAAGUCCUUUGUAAUGGCUUAGAAGUACCUCAAUCCUACCUGGAUUGGUUUUUUUUUAUCUCUCUUUAUUACCUCCUCAAGUAAGUCUUUUAAACAUCUAACUCAGCAGUUCAAAACACAUCUGCAAGAUCAGGUGAGUAUAAAACAUUAUUUUUUUCUCUUUUCUCCUUAAUUUGAAUUGAACACAACCAUUUUUUAACCUUAAGUGGCAGGGCCAUGGCAAGGAAACUGUUUCCAAAUCUCCCUUACCUUAUGGAACAAACAACCCAGUUAGCCAACCCUCACUGACAAUACUAGCUGGCUAGAUUACUCUUAACUAGUGGUGAGAAAGACCCAGAGAAAGUUGCUCAGGGUCUCCUAGCUAGUAAGUGUCUGAGGCCAG
rnacentral:lncRNA from 1 species